CUUUUCCAAACUAAACAUACCCAGUUCCUUCAGCCUUUGCUCAUAUGGCUUGUAUUCCAUCCCUUUGAUCCUCUUUGUUGCUCACCUCUGGAUCCUUUCCAGUUUCUCCACAUCCUUUCUGUACAUCGGUGACCAAAAUUGGUCACACACACAGAGCCCC